CAGGGCUGCCGGUGUGAUGGAGGCUGCACCGUGGCCAGCUGUCCCUGCAUCCUGCGCAGUCAGUGCUCCUGGACCCUCACGGGUGGCCAACUCAGGCUGGAUACCACUGGCACAGCCCCCGAGAUGGGAUCCAUCUACGAAUGCAGCAUGCUGUGUGCUUGUCCCAGGUCCUGCCCCAAUCGGAUGGUGCAGCGUGGGCUCCGAACCCAGCUCCAACUUUACAGGACAGCUGCCAAAGGUUGGGGUGUGCGCACAGUGCAGGAUGUGCCCCACGGAGCCUUCCUUUGCCAGUACUUUGGGGAGCUGAUUUCCAAUACUGAGGCUGCACACCGAGAGGAAGACACUUACUACUUUGUGGUGGAC